GAACGCUGGCGGCGUGCUUAACACAUGCAAGUCGAACGGGAACCUCUGGAUUCGUCUAGAGGGGAGAGUGGCGAACGGGUGAGUAACACGUAGGUGACCUGCCUUGAAGAUGGGGAUAACCACUGGAAACGGUGGCUAAUACCCGAUGGUCUUGACGAUUCGGUUCGUUGAGUAAAGCUCCGGCGCUUCAAGAGGGACCUGCGGCCCAUCAGCUAGUUGGUAGGGUAAUGGCCUACCAAGGCGAAGACGGGUAGGGGGCGUGAGAGCGCGGCCCCCCACACUGGCACUGAGACACGGGCCAGAUUCCUACGGGAGGCAGCAGUGAGGAAUAUUGCCCAAUGGGCGAAAGCCUGAGGCAGCAACGCCGCGUGGGUGAUGAAGGCUCUCGAGUCGUAAAACCCUUUUCUGGGGGAAGAGGAAGGACGGUACCCCAGGAAUAAGUCUCGGCUAACUAUGUGCCAGCAGCCGCGGUAAGACAUAGGAGGCGAGCGUUAUCCGGAUUUAUUGGGCGUAAAGUGCGUGCAGGCGGUAAGUUAAGUCGUGCGUGAAAGCUCCCUGGCUCAACCGGGAGAGGUCGUACGAAACUGACAUACUAGAAGACAGCAGAGGCGUGUGGAAUUCCAGGUGUAGUGGUGAAAUGCGUAGAUAUUGGGAGGAACACCGGUGGCGAAGGCGG
rnacentral:rRNA from 1 species